AGAACGAACGCUGGCGGCAGGCCUAACACAUGCAAGUCGAGCGCCCCGCAAGGGGAGCGGCGGACGGGUGAGUAACGCGUGGGAAUUUUUCCUGGAGUACGGAACAACCGAGGGAAACUUCGGCUAAUACCGUAUGAUGCCGAGAGGCCAAAGAUUUAUCGCUCUGGGGUGAGCCCGCGUCAGAUUAGGUAGUUGGUGGGGUAAUGGCCUACCAAGCCUGCGAUCUGUAGCUGGUCUGAGAGGACGAUCAGCCACACUGGGACUGAGACACGGCCCAGACUCCUACGGGAGGCAGCAGUGGGGAAUCUUGCGCAAUGGGCGAAAGCCUGACGCAGCCAUGCCGCGUGAGUGAAGAAGGUCUUAGGAUUGUAAAGCUCUUUCGCUCGUGACGAUGAUGACGGUAACGAGAGAAGAAGCCCGGCUAACUUCGUGCCAGCAGCCGC
rnacentral:rRNA from 1 species